rnacentral:rRNA from 1 species
GACGAACGCUGGCGGCGUGCCUAAUACAUGCAAGUUGAGCGCUGUAGGUUGGUACUUGUACCGACUGGAUGAGCAGCGAACGGGUGAGUAACGCGUGGGGAAUCUGCCUUUGAGCGGGGGACAACAUUUGGAAACGAAUGCUAAUACCGCAUAACAACUUUAAACACAAGUUUUAAGUUUGAAAGAUGCAAUUGCAUCACUCAAAGAUGAUCCCGCGUUGUAUUAGCUAGUUGGUGAGGUAAAGGCUCACCAAGGCGAUGAUACAUAGCCGACCUGAGAGGGUGAUCGGCCACAUUGGGACUGAGACACGGCCCAAACUCCUACGGGAGGCAGCAGUAGGGAAUCUUCGGCAAUGGACGGAAGUCUGACCGAGCAACGCCGCGUGAGUGAAGAAGGUUUUCGGAUCGUAAAACUCUGUUGGUAGAGAAGAACGUUGGUGAGAGUGGAAAGCUCAUCAAGUGACGGUAACUACCCAGAAAGGGACGGCUAACUACGUGCCAGCCGCCGCCGUAA